CGCACAUUGCGCCUUCCAGUAUUCUGGGAGGCAUGCCUGUCCGAGCGUCGUUUCAACCCUCAAGCCCUCGUGGUUUGGUGUUGGAGUCCUACAGUCUUGUAGUCUCCCAAAACCAGUGGCGGACCCGUCGCGGCCCUUCCUUUGCGUAGUAGCAUUCGCCUCGCAUCGGGAGCCCACGGGACUUUCUGGCCUCUAAACCCCCCACAAGUCCGCUCCGGCGGCACAAGGUUGACCUCGGAUCAGGUAGGAAUACCCGCUGAACUUAA
rnacentral:misc_RNA from 1 species